GAUGAACGCUGGCGGCGUGCCUAACACAUGCAAGUCGAGCGAAGCACUUACUUUAGAUUUCUUCGGAAUGACGAAGUUUGUGACUGAGCGGCGGACGGGUGAGUAACGCGUGGGCAACCUGCCCUGUACAGGGGGAUAACAGUUAGAAAUGACUGCUAAUACCGCAUAAGCCCACAGCUUCGCAUGAAGCAGUGGGAAAAACUCCGGUGGUACAGGAUGGGCCCGCGUCUGAUUAGCUAGUUGGUAAGGUAACGGCUUACCAAGGCGACGAUCAGUAGCCGACCGGAGAGGGUGACCGGCCACAUUGGGACUGAGACACGGCCCAAACUCCUACGGGAGGCAGCAGUGGGGAAUAUUGCACAAUGGGGGAAACCCUGAUGCAGCGACGCCGCGUGAGCGAUGAAGUAUUUCGGUAUGUAAAGCUCUAUCAGCAGGGAAGAAAGUGACGGUACCUGACGAAGAAGCCCCGGCUAACUACGUG
rnacentral:rRNA from 1 species